rnacentral:misc_RNA from 1 species
GGUAGAAGAACCAAAAACUCUGAGUCCCGAAGCUUCCAGAAAUGGAUGUAGCAGCUCCUCUUCUGCAGAAUUGAUAGCGUCCUCUUCCCUUGUCCUUUUGUAAUUUUUCUUUCCUCUUUUCCUUAUUGUUACCUCUUAUCGCAAAAACUAGAAAAUUGUGCUUUUAUAUGGUCUCAAAAGUUGCCCUAAAAAUAGAUAAGAGCCAAGGAGUGGAUAGGA